AUCCGUAGGUGAACCUGCGGAAGGAUCAUUACCGAGUUUACGGGCUUCGGCUCGACUCUCCCACCCUUUGUGAACGUACCUCUGUUGCUUUGGCGGCUCCGGCCGCCAAAGACCUCCAAACUCCAGUCAGUAAACGCAGACGUCUGAUAAACAAGUUAAUAAACUAAAACUUUCAACAAGGGAUCUCUUGGUUCUGGCAUCGAUGAAGAACGCAGCGAAAUGCGAUAAGUAAUGUGAAUUGCAGAAUUCAGUGAAUCAUCGAAUCUUUGAACGCACAUUGCGCCCCUUGGUAUUCCGGGGGGCAUGCCUGUUCGAGCGUCAUUACAACCCUCAAGCUCUGCUUGGAAUUGGGCACCGUCCUCACUGCGGACGCGCCUCAAAGACCUCGGCGGUGGCUGUUCAGCCCUCAAGCGUAGUAGAAUACACCUCGCUUUGGAGUGGUUGGCGUCGCCCGCCGGACGAACCUUCUGAACUUUUCUCAAGGUUGACCUCGGAUCAGGUAGGCAUACCCGCUGAACUUAAGCAUAUCAAUAAGCGGAGCACGG
rnacentral:rRNA from 1 species